rfam:Myotis brandtii contig203350, whole genome shotgun sequence.
GGCAGUAUUACAUAGUGGUUAAGAACACAGGCUUUAGAGCUAUGUGCCUGGGUUCAAAUCCUAGUACUGCCA